AUCAACUUCUUUUACCUUUUUAUUUGGUUAGGUCAUCAGUGGAUGUCAUUAUUAGUUAUCAAGAAUACUAUUGGAUUUUAUAUCUUGACUUCAAUUUUUAAUGCUAUUGCUAAUGCUAAUCAUGUGUCUCCUCGCAUCAACUUCUUUUUAGCUUCUUAUUUGGUUUGGUCAUCAGUGGAUGUCAUUGUUAGCUGACGAGAAUACAUGGAUGGGCAUCUAGGUGCAAGUGGUUCUACAGGAAGAAGUGUCUUGCCCCAGUGUUUGUGGUUGGGGAAGAUGCAUCAGUUCCCAGGUCUUUUGACUAUAUAGAUAGUGGAUUUUCAGUUUCUCAAAGCUUUGUCAAAACAGGUGUGUAAUAGAAGUGCGUUAUAGAAGUUCUCAACUAUGAUAAUUCUUUCACAAGUGUGUUCUGCUGCCAGUCAGAUGCUCGUGUUCUUUGAUGAUCCGGAUGUCUUUUAUGGUGUUAUGGGCAUCAGAUAAAGUCAAAAGUCAAUUCUGGAUCUAGCUACUUGAUCUUCUCUGCUGUUUUCCCAUGGUUAUCAUGCCAACUUUGUUUUGUUUAGUGGUGAAUAAAUGUGUGGACCACACGGUGAUAGUAAUAGAGGAUUAGUUUUGGGAACUUCAAUGGCUUGUAUCCGGUAUUCAUUCCUGUGAACCUUGUUUCUUGGUCCUUUUGGUGCUUGCAACUCCAAGAUGGAUAUUGCUAGGCUUCGACCAAAAUUGGGGUUUUCGAUCUUGUCUCUUGCAUAUCUAGUGAUUUCUUAGGUGAUAUGGAUUUUGUCAGCUUUGUACUUAACUGGUCCCUUCUUCUUGUUCUUGUAGUUGGGUCUGACAAAGCAAUGAAUUAUUCUUUUGAUGGAGGGACAUUGUUU
rnacentral:lncRNA from 1 species